rnacentral:misc_RNA from 1 species
CAAAAAGAGGGAGUACUGCCUUUGACUCAGAAGGGCUAAGCACUCGUAUAGAAGACCAGGGAGUGUAGCCACAAUUUGUUUCUUGAGUCACAACUGCUUCAAGACGUCGGCAUCUGAGAAGCAAGUUGGGCCAAGAGGGAACCAAGUUGUGGUGAUUUUACCGACAGAAGAUAUCAGUCGGCGCACCAACCCCAUUUCGAAUCAUUGAUCAACCGGUAUACUACAGCUUCAUCUGGCUUUCUACUGCAAGUAGGCUACAUAAGGACAUUCUUUGUGGAGCCGGUACUUGUAAGAGUCUCGAUAGUUGUCUGUUGGACCAAUACAGUAAGAUAUCAAUCACUAAACUGUUGAUUGAAAGGAUUGGAGUUGACAAUUGAGCUGACUGAGGCAGUGCAUUGGUCUCAGGGGCACUACAUUAUGUGCUUAGACCCCUGUAUCCUGUCUCACUAGUACCGUCUCGACAUAGAUUGAACCCUCUGAGUCACUCUGAAUAGAGCUGUAGAGGGAUAUAAACUGCUCUUAAGUUCGGAUACGGCUGUGGACAUGGUACGAAAAGGAUAUGUGAGACUGUCUUGGAGCAUGCUGCAGAGCUCUAUGUGGAGACAAUGGCAUCUACGGCCGGUUUGAGAGACGUUGGAAGUUUGGAGAGUUCAAAAUAUUUGUCAAAUAAACAGCUUCUGCACG